UAAUUUUGAAAACCCAAGUUUUCGCACCCCCUGGAAUAUCGUCUUGCACCCCCAGGGGGUACGAAAGCCCCUGGUUGGGAACACCUGCACUAAAUAAAUAAAAUCAUGAAUCAGUUCUAAGCAGCAAUUAACACAUUACCUGUUCUCUAAUACAUGGAGACCAAUCAGUGCUAUUUCAUAGCCUCAAGAUUAACAAAAUAUCUUAAAUCCUUCCCCUCUCAACCUGAAAAUCCUCAUGUGUUAUUUGUACUUGCUUUUCUACUCAGCUUUCCCACCACACAUCCAUUCAGAGUUGAUUGUUCCCAUGAAACAAUGAAAUUAUGUCAUAAUAUAUACACUGAAAUACUACUUUUAUAAAAGACUGUUGAAAUGCAAAGUGUAUAAAAUGGCACACUAGACUUUGUGUAAUUAAUAUGCUCAGUUGCAAUCAACACUCUUAAAGCAUGACAUUAGCCUAUGAACAAACACACCAAACAAAAUCAGCAAAAUACUAGCCAUAACAAAGCAUGGUGGGAGAGAAAUAUUUUCCCCAAUUGUUGAAAAGUUCUGAUGGAGUCAUUAUUGCACUUUUUUAUUUUCUAUAAAAGAAAUAGCACAUUAAUGAAGGAAAUAUUAUCUCUAAUUUAACUUUUGUCGAGAGUUAAAAGCCUUUGCUGGAGGUGUAGAUUGAUGCCUCAAGUCACAGCACUCUUGAAGGGAGUGGAAUGGGAGAGAGGAUGGAAGCUGAGUUGGAUAGGGGAGUGUGCUACUUCAAGAGAAGAGCAAGGAUGAAGCGAAAGACGUCCUAGAAUUAAUUGCUACAUCAGAAGGAAGCUGGAAAGGGGGAAACUAAUUCUAAAAUGAAGAUCUAAUGGUAACAGGUUACUCCCAGAUCUACUGUUAUUUUUGAUAAAAGUUGUAGCCUCAAAUUCUUACUCUUUUAAUCAUACCUUACACCAACGUAAUUGUAGACUUUUUUCCUCUCCCUCAAGAGUGGAUGGUCUGAAGGGUGAGAGGUAAUUAUCUAAUUUCACUUUUUUUCUCUCAAUUUUAGGUGUAUAUGAAGAUGGUCGGCAUUGACUAAGACACUUCAUAUCCUGUAGUAGUUUAAUUGUUAACAAACCUACUUCAUUUAUAUACAGGGUUCACAUUACUGUUUGCACAUAAGAGAGAAUUCGGGGUCAGGAUUAAGGUGCUGGCCUAGAAACUAGGAAACGGUGAAUUCUAAUCCCCCCUUAAGGUGUGAAAAAUAGCUUGGGUGACUUGGGUCACUGUCUCUCAACCUGGCCCACCUCACAGGGUUGUUGUGGGGAAAAUCCUCGUAAAUGGACAGUUCACGAUGUGGGCUUGUUCUAGUGGGAAUCUUUCUCUUCAAUUUAUUUAGAAGAGCAAUCUUUCACUGCACUAUAAGCUGCUGCACUGUAUUCUCUACUGAUCUGCAGGCUUCUCCAAUUUCCAGCUCUUUUGGAGAUAUCAGAAAGGAUUCUGAGUGAACAAGAAAAGCAUAUAUGGCACAUGUUGCCUGGACAUAUACCUUUCCCAAACAGAAAAUUCAAUAGAUAGAGGACUAGCUGCAUUGCAAUACCUUCUCCUUUACCGACAAAAAAGCUGAUGAGAAGAUAGCAGAAGUAGUAACCUUUCAGCCACUUCGUACAUUUUCCAACAUAAAGAGGCCUCCUGAAACCUGUGUGGAUCUGAAUCAGAGAGAAACAGACUCUAACCAGGAUAUAUUUCCUGUCAGCCACUGUCCCUUUCCACUUUCUGCAGCCCCCCUCCAGGAUUCCUCGUGGGUUUUCUUCUCAUAGAACUAUUAACAUAAAUACUCUCGAUCUAAAAGGUUGCCAUUUUGUGCUCUAAUACUGUAGAUCAUGCACAACGGGCGUCUGGGCAUAUGUUUUAGCAAUCCAGGAGAAAACUCCAGAGAGAUGUGGGCACCAACUGUGAAAGAAAGCUAAAUCUGGGCAAAAUCCGUUUCUUUGUUCAAUUCAGGAAUCCAUCAUUACCUUAACAGCUGUCACACCAAAUGGUACAGCAUGUGUGCCUUUAAAGAAGAUACUGAACACUUUCCCAUCCUACAGAAGUGCACAGCCAAAAUGCCGUAGGAAUCUGGGAGCCAAAAUAGUACCCAAGGUUCUGCCUCUCCUUCUCCUACAGUCUGUCGCAUGCAGCUCAGCCCUGGGCCUAAUUUUCAGACUCAUCCACGUCUUGAUGCCCAGCCAAGGGUAGACAGAGUUUCUCUAUUAAUUCUUGUAUGUUAACUCUGAUCAGACAGCAAAAUGAACAUGGGCUUCUACAGAUAAAAAAAUGUUUUUUUGUGUGACUAGAAGAUACUGAGAUGCUGCAGAGAUGCCUGUUGCUGGAAAGAAAAGGCAGUGCUGAAUUUUGCUGUUUUUUCUUCUGCAGCCCGAUGUUUUCUAAGGAGACCUUUUUAAGCUCUGGACAGAGGGGAACAUUGGAUUAUGGAGUGGAAAUGGGAUAUUGUUAGCCGCAAAUAUCUUUGUCCUUCGCCAAAACAUUCUGUGAAUGAAGCUCUCUUCAGUAGAGUGCUGGAUCCAGCCCUAUAUCUUUGAAAAUAUUUUUGUUGUUGAUGAAGAUGAUGGAAGAUCUCAUUCAUAUUUCCUCCAAAAUCUUAAAAGUGCCACCGACAAAGCAAUCUCAGGCAUAUUUUUUGGAUAUAAGCCCAUUCGAUACAAUAGAGCUUAUGCUCAGGUAUGUCUCAGAUAAAAACCCUAUAAUGAAGUUCAAAUCUUACAAAAAAAAAGGAUUUUAAUUGAACUGGAUCAAUUUAAUUUAGUUUAAAAGAUAAAUAAUCAAUCCCAAGUUCUUCCACCAGCUGAUAGCCCAACAUUUUAGGUAAGUGAAUUGCCAGGAUGAUAGGUAAUGAUUAAAUUAACUUAAAACUCCCUUUUAUGACCCAGUAAUCUUACUCUAUAUCAUUAUGUACGCAGGAUAAGCAAAUAUCCUAAUGACAAAAUGAUGGCAGGGUCUCAGAAGACAGCUAUCUCCCCCCCCCCAAUUGCUUGAAAUAAGAGUUGAAGAUAUGCCCAUUCCCCAGGCAUUUGUAGAAUAUCCACAACUCCAAGGUUUGUUGCCUUUUAAUUAUUAUUUUUUAAAUUAUAUAAAGUUUUAACAUUACUUUGUUCAGAACUGGUUGUUUUCUUGGUUUUUUUCAUUGUUUAAUGUGAACUGCUUUUACUUCUCAUACCUCCGAGCAGGACAAAUGGUAUAGUAAUAUUACUACCUUCAUAUCAUCAUAUUGCAAAUAAUAGCAGCACUGUUUCAUUUAAACUGUCUCAGCCUGGCAAUGCUGAGAUGGGAAUGAAAAAUCCUUAAAACAGUUAGUAACUUCUUCAUUUUAGCAGUUUAAAACAACAGAUAGAUAGGAUAGGUGGACUCAAAUAAUCUCAUCACAAUGUUUCCCAGAUUAAUUUUGGACGGACAGGGAAUGCCGAGAAAGAGGAAUCUGCUCUGACUAGAAUGGCUCAGGUGUGCUAUCUUACCAGUGUUUUCUUGACAAGAAACCUUGAUGGGUAUAGAAAGAGACAGAGAGCCGGGUCAAAGCAGCAAGGCUAUUGUAAACUAACUGUCAAGAGACGUCUAUAAUGGCAGGCAUUUCCCACCAUAAUCAUCCAGUACUUGAUGAAAAGGUUAUAGCUUUCUAAGCAGUCACGUUAACAAUCUGGCCAAAAAAAGGAGGGGGGAGUAGGGAAUUAGAAACAAGUGAAUUAAUUACCUCUUGUCCAGAUCCCCAUGCAUAAAAAGGCCAACAUAUAUGCUCACUCCCAAAGCCUCAUCUAAGAUUUCAGUGGCGCUUCUUCAGGGACACUGAAGAUUUCAGAUUGAGCAUGGCCACUCAACCUGGUCACUCAUUGCAUUGGUGGACAAUCAAGAAGCAAACCCAAUGUGUCUAGCACGUGUUGAUGUAUACACAAAUGCAGGCACACACAGAGACAAAGUGCACACAUUCCUUGGGUAUAUAGAUAUUCUGGCUGACAUUAUCAGCGAGGAGGAAGACCUCAGCUCAAAAUAAAUCAUGUAAAUACUUGAGCCAUAUAUGAGGCAGUUAAGACAAUGCUACUGUUUUCAAGCAGAGAUACAGAAACAUUAGUCCUCUAGAUAGAAUUGAACCUCAGUGUCUUGUAUCUUUCAUGAUUGGCCCUGAAAGCUGAUGUUGCUGGAACCAUACCCCAUUAGUAGAGGUACUUAUGGGUAGACUACAACUCCUAGCAGCCCCCAAAAGUACAGAGCCCAAAAGAAGGCAAAGCAAAUAUAUUAGACAACGAUGGUCUGUAACAAUUUUCAGGAAUAAAUUACACUGAGAAACAAUCUUAGAGAGCAGCCCUUCUACUGAACCAGUCAAUGGGCUAUCCAUUCGUGUAUUGGAAUGGGAGAAAGGUGGUGGUUAUUUCAUCUAAUAUCUGGAACGUUCCGGAAAAUUAUAGAUAAAAGUGAUAUAUGACUACAAUCCAUAAUUGUCUGGCUGCAGUGGUGCCAGAAGCUGUACUAUUAAGCAGUGCAUGAAUUGCUAAUUCAUAAAAUAGAAAUAAUGACUACCACUUAGGUAAGUGAGGGAAAAAAAGAGGAAAAUAUGGACCCCCUGUAAUUUCACCCUUCCCAAUAACUCAUGGGAGACAAUGGGAAAAGUGACACUUAGGCGGGCCCUCUGUACUAUUCAAUUCGUAGGCUUUUCCUGAGUGUAUAAUACACUGUUAGGAAAUGUAUUAUUAUUGUUGUUGCUGAUCGUAGCUUUUAACAUUUUUAUACAUUUUAUAUAUAACCCCCCUCAUAAAUUAGCCAGAGUCCUUGUUGUAGGAUGGGAUAUAAAUUUAAUUAAAACAUGCAUGACACAAAUGCAGGGAAAGAUCUCUUCUAUAUUAAGCCCUGUGGAACUCGGAAAUAAUCUAAGAAAGCUUUGAGGAAGACUGUUCCACUCAGGGAGGAGAUGAAAAGCUGUUUCUUUGGAAUAAUAGGUUUUAAAUUGGAGCCCUUUGCUUAAAAUCCACAGGCAAUAAAAAAGGGGUCAAAAUGAAGAAAAUUGCACAACUCUUAUAUUACUUUAAAAGAUAAUCAUGGGUGUUUCCCCCCCCCUUCCAGAAAUAGUUGCUUUUUUUCUUUUUCUUAAGUAGUCAUUGACAAUAGAUGCCAUCACUUAGAAUCCAUUGCUCAAUAAAAGAAUGGUCAGAAAUUUUAAGAUUUUAUGCAACUUAAAUGUUUCCAGUCAUCGUCUAUUUCAGGACUGGGGCUCAUUUUGAAUGGAAAAAAUGUAAUCUUUGACCUUAAACAUCCAUGAAAAUGACCUUUGAGAGUAAUUGUGUGGACUGCAAUUUGACUUUAUUUAUGUGGCUAAUUCACUUGUAAUGCUUUACAUUUGUGCUACAUAUUUUAAAUGGCUUACAGUGGGAUUGCUUUGACUUUUUUUUUUUUUUUGCUAGCAUCUUCUAUGUUUAGUCAUUUCUUCUAAUAUGUGCAAAGGCAUCUAUUCUGAGCCUGUCAGAGAUUGCACUAGUAGUUUUGCUUGCUACUCUCAAGUUUCUUUAAAUCAAAGCCAAAAUGUAUAUAGCCUACAUAAUAUAGGACAAAAUUAUAUCUAUAUUCUAUAACAAUGUUCAAUUAUGGAUACAAGAAAAAGUGAGUCAGAAGUAUUCUUUGAUAAUUGCUGGGUCAUAUCAAGAUACCGCCAUACUAAAAUGGAAGAGCUUUCAUCACAAACUAGGGUAAUUGUCCAAUUGUAUUGAAGUCAGUUACAUUAGAAUUUCACCCACAUAUAUUUAAUGGUCUUACGUUAUUUUUAUGCUGAUGUCACAGUUAUUUAAGUGAGAGGUACUUUUGUUAGCUAGACAGUUUUCUGGAAAAAAAAAUUAGGAGAUUUCAGACUGUAGUGGGCAAAAUUGUGGUGGUUUUCCAUUUUGCAGGAGUUUGGCACACUUCCGCUGCAUUUUGGAACCUAAUUUUAACCUUCUCUGGAAUGUCCCUAUGAGCUGUAUGUAGUGACUUAGGGGUUCCAGGGAACACCAAGCACUGAUAAAAGAUGAGACAUGGCUGGCUCAGGAAUUCUGGGACUUGAAGUCCACGAGUCAUAAAAGAGCCAAGGUUGCCUAUCCCUGGACUAGGAGAACAAUUCUUUGCCAUUUCCAUACAGAAAUAAAUUAAGGAAUCAAAGUAACAAUUCCAGAAGAGAAACCUAAAAUCUCAAGUUCGGCUUUUGUUAGAUCAGUGGUGUGUGGAUGUGCAGAAACCUUGUACCCAGUAAAAUCAAUAUUUGAUAAUUCAGUGCAGUAUUAGCUACAUGGAUUGUAAAAAUCACACCCAUCCUUUUCGGGCUCAAAUUAAAAAUCACUUAAUCCCUUAAAGAUUUUAUAACUGCCUGUCUCUAUCCAGACUCCAGGAAGAUUGUAAACUGGAAACGGUCACCUCUAGCCAAACGUUGCUUGAUUCUGGCAUUCGACUCGCUGCAAGUUCCAGCAGGAAUGCAUCUGGAUUAUCUAACUUUUUAGAUAAAUUCUUUCAGAUUCAUCACAUUUAUUAUAUUCACUUUGAGUCUAGCCAAUUAAAUUGUAGUAGGAAUUAUAAAUCAAUUGGGCCAAAAUUCCCAUUUUUAAACUGCUUAAUAUCUUGAUAAGUGAAGAAACAAGGGAAAAAAGUAGGGAAAAACUGAAGUACUGGUAGUAAAAAAUAAACGAAGAAGAAAACCUUGGUUGUUGUAAAGAUAAUAAUAAGGAGAAAGGGUUGAAAGAGUCUGCUAAUUCUGAGUUUGCUAAUUCUUUCUCUAUUCUAUGCAUCCACAUGACAAACAUUUCAUUAGUAAGGGAAGGACAUUUGUUGUCAGUGCUAGGGCUAAAUAUAUAUAAAAAAAUCAAGAGCUCAACCUGACUUCUCAAGGAAGCCAUAAUCUAGAAUCCUGGAAAAUCAAGAGUUUAAGAAGUCCCUGUAAAUAAAAAAGGUUCAUUGCUGUUAAUUUUGGCCUGGUGCUUGUAAAUGGGGCAAGAAAGGAGAAGAUAAGGUCUCCUGCUUGAGCAGAAGAUUGGACCUGAAAACUUCCAAGGUCCCUUCCUACCCUGUUAUAUAUUCUGCUCUAUAUUCUGUGUUCUAAGUGUAUCUCUCCCACUGCUUUGUUCAUCUCUAGGUUGUACACAAAUUUAAAAUGACUGGAAAGAAUCAGUUUCAUUUUUACAGUCUACUGUACGGGUUAACUUUAGAUGUAGCUAAUACUACACUGAAUCAUGAAAUGUUGUUUCUCUUGGGUCCAAGAUUUCUGCACAUCCACACUCUAUUCACUUGAGACUUUAGGUUUCUCUUCUGGACUUAUUACUUUGCUUCCUUAUUGCACUUAAAUUCCAUUUUAUUCCUACAAACUGCAUUGUAAGUACUUUCCAGUGUUAUUUACAUAGCAACUUUGUGAGGGAAGUUAAGUUGAGGGAUAAUUAUCUCAAAACAUCCAAUGAAUUUUAUAGUUGGGAGGGAACUUGAAAUUGUAUCUCUCCAGUGUUGGAUUAGCACUAAUUUUUUCCUUAGAUUUUUUUUUUAAAAAAACUUCAUAAUAUUGCUUUUGUUAUUGUCAUCAAAUUACUUCAGAACUUUGCAUUAAAAUUGAUAUAUGAAUGUUCUUUAAUAAAUAGUCCUCUUAACCCUGCAUGAUCUUUGAUCAAAUUUAAUAUUUGUUCUCGUUUGUGAGCGAAAUCUUACAAUGGGUUCUGCAUGUACAAUAGGUUUAUUAUAUGGAGAUCUUAAACCUAUGAAGCUUUGCAGUAUGGCAUCUCUUGUUAAUUGUGUGA